CUCAUUCUCUUCGCCUGCUGCCAUGAAUGACGUGCCUUUUGCCUUCUGCCAUGAUUGUGAAGUCUCCCCAGCUGCGUGGAACUCUACAGAGCAGCAUCUGAAGAGCCACGGGGCCCCCACCUUCAUCCCUGAGAAUUUUAGGAGCCAGCCUGCCUUUCCAGGUGACACUGGACACUUUCAUCUGAGAACCCUGUCACAUGACAGUUGUUUCCUUUCUUCCUCCUCUCCUGGGAAUGCUGCUGCUUCGAUGACCCAAGAGCCUAAGAAGGGUAGCUGUUUCUCAAUACACUGAGAGAGAGUUCUUUCUCCGUCCUGACCAUCUUGGGACCCGAUGGCAAGACUGGAAGGAUUUAUAUCUCCUUUUGUACAGAAAACUGCCUCCCCAUGUUGGUUUGUGAAGUGAAAUGCAUAUAAAACAGAGGAUUCCAGACUCUCAGAAGUCAAUACAUAAAUAAAUAAAAAUAAAACUGAGAAGAUA
rnacentral:lncRNA from 1 species